AGGAAAAAUAGGAAUGGGAAAUAAUGAGUACAGUACUAUGUACUCCUAUUGAGUACGGAAAAGAUAGUCACAGGGUUUCUUUUUUUUUAUACUUCCUUACUUCCGUUUAACUACUUUACGCCUAGUUAAACUGUUUGAACUGACGUCCUUCUCUUGUUUUGGUCUAGCAAUCUCGACGUCUUGUGUAGAGGGCUGCUUGGUCUGUGCUUAAAUGACAUGACAUGGGUAUAAUAUAAAAUAUUCAUUAGCCCUCCCUCCCUCCUUUGUAUUGCGGAUGAAGACGAAUCUUCAAUCUUGAGUGUAGAUUGAAAAGUCACUGAACCAAUCUUCUUACUAACGAUAUUCCGUCGACGGAUACAAUCGUUUUUCAUGACUUUACUACUUCCAACACAUCGUGUAUGUCAUAGUAUCGUGUAUUCACGACAACAAACUGAUCACUACUAAUUUUCGUUUCACCAGACCAAGUUUACCUCGAAUAGGGUACAUUUCUCGUAUUCGGUCAUCCAGGUAUGAAAAGACCUGAUGUUACUCUUAUACAUGGUUAGAGUCCUUUCCUGUGACUACCUUGAACACGAACAAGUAUAAGAUAGGUGAAAUGUCAUCAUGUUUCCUGUCUUAUUUAACUGUCUUUUUAACACAAAGACGUGCAUUCUACAGUGAGAGGUUCUUCCGUUGUUCAUAGUCGUUAUUUUUUUUAUUGAAUUAACUAAGUAAAUUUGUUUCUAUGUGUAUGACAUAAGGAGAUUCUUGUAAUUUUAGUAACUAGUGUAUUGUACUUGGUCGUUGUGAUUUGAUUCAUGAAUCAUUGAUUCCAUUGUCUCUUCAACGUGUUUAUAAAGGUAGAGCCGUUUUACUCACUAAGCCUUUACAUAGAAAGUGCGAGGUUCGUCUAUCGUCUAUUAUACGGUUUUUUAUUGUAAAGUCUUUCUAUUUAACGAGGUCAACAUCCAUAAAUAAUACAUGUAUAUGGAAGAUGACUAGAUUACUCAUUUUAUACGUCGACUUCAAAGGUAUGUCUUUACGUCUCUUUCGAUUUCCUGAUCAAAGUAAUGACUCCCCCAUGUUCCAACUACAAUGAGUCGACAGUGUCCAACGAUAAUCAUGACUAUAAAAGUAAAACCAAUAAUAAUGGUUCUUAUUGAUUCCUGUCGUAGAAGACAGUCAACCCAAUUUCUAACAAGAAGACGACAAACAAGAUUCUACGAUCUAAGAUACAAAGGGGUAUAUUCCUCGGGGAGUGUCCCGUAACGAAUGGUUGGACUCUUCUGGUUUUCCCAUAGUUGUCCGAAUUCGAGUGUGCCUCUUGUCCUGACCAUAAGUAGAACAGUCAUCCCUUUAUGAGUUAUGUGUCAAAGUUGCACGUUGUCGUUUCUCCUUCCUUCGCUGACGUCUUGUUGUCUUCUACAUAGUGGUUGUAGUCCCGGGAUCACUCGAGAAGUGAUGAUCCUGCUGGAAAGGGUACCUCUCCGUAGACAAAGACGUGCCUCCUUCAUGCGUUCCUCUAAGGCCCGAUCAAGAGAGUUGGCUACGUUUUGGUUCCGACUUUACCUGUGGGCUCAAUGUAGUCGCUAAACAUCUACGCCAGUUAGUUAACCCGCCUCGUCUUUUUCGAUGAGGUUUUUGUCAGUACUCCGAAUACCCGUAAGGUCCUGAGUGGAACAUAGUAGACUUUUCGGUGGAAGUCUUUAUGUCCGAGUCAUUCUUGGAGGUUCGAGUUCAAUUGCAACCCUGUUUGUUCUUGUGGUAUCCUACACGUUAACAUCGACUACCGUACGGGCCUUGUUCACACGGUCGCUACUAGUUAUGUUUACAGUAAGGUGUCGGUCUCUUUUGAUACGUUUAACCACUUCGGGAUGUCUACGUUUAGCUCCACGUCUCUGUUAAUUUGCUUGUUGAGCUCCAUGUUGCCGUAGACGUUGAUGCCUAUCUUCGGGUUCCCUUCAUAGACGUCCGUCAAGAUCUCGUCCGUGUUCUCUCGGAACCUUUUGUCUUAAACCCAGGACGUUUGGACCUUCUACGUUUCUACUUUUAUAGUCUUGAUCAGAGUGUUCAUAGUUUGCUUACAAAGUCGUUACGUCAAUGUCUCUAUUUUCUUUCAAGUUCAUACGUGUCUGAUCUCGGUUCCGUUUAGGUCAAGUACCUUUCAAGUUGGUUGUUGACAAACUGACGUCGGCCUCCUAAGUAAUUACUCGUAUCUGAUGUGUCGGUACCUUACGAGUUUCGUAUACUACUAUCAAGUUAUAAAACGUCUUUCGUGAGAGGACUGGCACUCAUGGUCAAAAGGGAAUUAUCUUCGGAUUCGCUCGCAUUCUACCCAGUAAACGUGUUACACUUACUCAUGGUGUUUCGUCUCAAACCUUCACUUUCACUGUACCUCUAAGUUGUCCUUAUAUGAUGUGGAGUUUUCUUACCGUCUCCGUCGUGGUGGUCAAGUCGGAGUCCUUCGUUUCUUUCUCUACGCCUGUCUGAUAUAGAACUUCUUGGUUUGACGUUCUCUGUUAACCAACUUGUAAGUCCAAAACUCGUAGGUUCAAGACCCUUCUUUGAACUAGACUUGUGAGUUUUGUGACUACUACCACUAGUGCCCAUAUCCGUAAAACUAAAUUUACCGAAGUCGACCUCGACUUAACAAUUACUAUACGUUAUACUAACUUCGCUUCUUUACUCGUAUGUUUAUUAAAAAGGACCGUAAAAGUUGUGGUAAUAAACCACUAAUUUGACGCAUCCAGUUCUUUUUUAUGAUCAUGUGGUCUCAAGUUGGUAACUCAUAUCUUUGACUCUACAAUACCGAGUCGUCAAAUUUAGAGGUAAAGCUCUCCACAUUAUGUAUACUUAUCCUAUAGUUCAGGCAUUAUUAUUUUUUCCCUUAUCCCUACGUUAUAUCCUUGUCUUACGUCUUCCGUUUCUAUCGAUCUCUUGGUGGUUGGCUCAUUCGCAGUGUGAAUUAUGUCCAUUUGGUACCACUCUUUAUGAGUAGGUACAUUAUCAUAUUAAAGAGCCUUAAAUUCAUCAUUCUUAUCGUCCCUGAUGGUCUUGGAAUGGGAGGGUUUAUUGUACCAAUUUAGUUAAAUCAUUGUCUUCGAUAGGGCUGAAAGUCGAGUUGUGUCGAAUUUUCAAUUUUGUUUUGGCUUGUCAAGUAGUUAACUACGUGUGAAGUGCUUGUGUUGAUUAUAGAGUCUCUUCGCACACAUCUUAUUUCUACCUUCAUUAAGCAGGCGUCAGUAGACACGUGUAGUAAGUUGGUCGUAUAUUUCACUACAUAGACAAGCAGGUGUGUUGUAUUUGCUCAAAACUUCAUUUCAUGUAGCGUCGUGAAUAAACAUAUGGUAGUCGUAGUCCGUUCCGUUCUCAGUGAAUAACGUAUUAAGUUAAUUUUUGACGUUUACUUUCUCGUUUCGAUACAUAUUAGAACCCCACACUACACGUAGUGUUCACUAUAUUCUUCUGUACGUAGAUAAGGAAACAAGGAGAGGAAUAAGAGUUGAUAUGAACGGUGUUCACGUUCUCGUGACAUAAUAUCUCAUGAUAUACACUAUUGAUCUUUUGAUGACAUCAAAUAAUACCUCUCGUCAUUCGCGACCACAGUAGGUGAGUACGACGAUGAUGAUGAAGAACUAGGCCGCGUGGAAGAACCGCGGGGUCUGGAGGUAGGACGGGAACCGCGUCGGCGUCCCCCUCGCCUUCUACUCGUGCCUCGCCGGCAACCCCCCGCGGUAGAAGGACUCGAGGCGGAGCUCGAGGGCCACGAGGAGCGGCUCGAGCUGCUCCGCGCGCCGCCUCGGCCGCCGGCGCUCCUCGCAGAACCGCACCGGCGGCCCGCCGUCGUCGGACGGCGAGGGCGCGUGCGUGAGGAGGCAGAGCUCGACCUACAGCUUGAGCUGCCGGAACGCGUCCGGCGCCGUCGCCCCGGACGGCGUGAACGCGCGCACCACCGGGCGGCGGAGGGUGCGCUCGUCGGGGCGGUGCCGCCGCUGGCGCCGCGGCCGCGGCCGCCGCUUCCGGUGCAUGCUCAUUCCGAGGAGGCCCAUGACGGCGUGGUCCAGGCGCCGGAGCGCCCGGUCGUCGGACCGCAUCCCGCGCCGGUCCUUCCGGUCGCGCGGCUCGUGCCGGUCCUCCCGCUCGCGCAGCUCCCGCCGCCAGCCCCCGCCCAACAGCGUCUCGCUCCACUUAUCGAAAGGGGCGCUGCUACCGCUACUCCUCCUCCUCCUCCGACGCGCCGCCCCCGCCCGUGUGCCGCUCCCCCUCGGCGGCCGGCGGCGCCUCCGCGCCGCCGCCACGAGCUUCCGCGCCUCCUUGAGCUACUCCGACGCCGUCAGGCGGUACCGCCUCCGCCCCCGCUCCAGCUCCAUAGCCCUUACCUUAAACCCGCCUAGCCCUAGAUCCGCGGCCACACCCGACCGGCGCUCCCCUCGCUCGGCGGAGCGCAGCGCACACGCCCUAGACUAGCCGGACGCGGACACCACAAAAAAAACUGGGCCAACCACCCGCCGAGCGCAGCGGAGCCAGCGG
rnacentral:rRNA from 1 species